UACGGGGGGGGCAAGCGUUGUUCGGAAUUACUGGGCGUAAAGGGCUCGUAGGCGGCCAACUAAGUCAGACGUGAAAUCCCUCGGCUUAACCGGGGAACUGCGUCUGAUACUGGAUGGCUUGAGGUUGGGAGAGGGAUGCGGAAUUCCAGGUGUAGCGGUGAAAUGCGUAGAUAUCUGGAGGAACACCGGUGGCGAAGGCGGCAUCCUGGACCAAUUCUGACGCUGAGACGCGAAAGCGUGGGGAGCAAACAGG
rnacentral:rRNA from 1 species